rnacentral:lncRNA from 1 species
UUUAGGGUAAUUUUUCUUGAAUUUUGCUUUGUUUCAGUGUGGCUCUUAAGAGUUUCAGGAAGAUCACCUGAAGUUCAAGGCCAUUUUGGGCUACAGAAGUGAAGACCAGCAUGGAAUAUAUAGAGAGAACCUGUCUCAACCAAACAACAGCAAAACAAACAAAAAUGAACAAGAAUUUAUGACAUGGAUCCCUGAGGUUCUGUCAUCAAUACCAGGAAGCCAAUUUGAUGAUCAAGAGAAAGCACAGGAGAUAAAAUGUUGA